rnacentral:rRNA from 1 species
AUUGAACGCUGGCGGCAGGCCUAACACAUGCAAGUCGAACGAGUGGCGGACGGGUGAGUAAUGUCUGGGAAACUGCCUGAUGUGGGGGGCUAACUACUGGAAACGGUAGCUAAUACCGCAUACCAUCGGAUGUGCCCAGAUGGGCUUAGCUAGUAGGUGGGGUAACGGCUCACCUAGGCGACGAUCCCUAGCUGGUCUGAGAGGAUGACCAGCCAAACUGGAACUGGGACACGGUCCAGACUCCUACGUGAGGCAGCAUUGGGGAAUAUUGCACAAUGGGCUCAAGCCUGAGGCAGCCAUGCCGCGUGUAUGAAGAAGGCCUUCGGGUUGUAAAGUACUUUCAGCGGGGAGGCGUUACCCGCAGAAGAAGCACCGGCUAACUCCGUGCCAGCAGCCGCGGUAAUAC